rnacentral:rRNA from 1 species
CCUACGGGGGGCUGCAGUGGGGAAUAUUGGACAAUGGGCGAAAGCCUGAUCCAGCCAUGCCGCGUGUGUGAAGAAGGCCUUCGGGUUGUAAAGCACUUUCAGUGGGGAAGAAAGCCUUGGGGCUAAUACCCUCGAGGAAGGACAUCACCCACAGAAGAAGCACCGGCUAACUCCGUGCCAGCAGCCGCGGUAAUACGGAGGGUGCGAGCGUUAAUCGGAAUUACUGGCGUAAAGCGCGCGUAGGCGGUCUGAUAAGCCGGUUGUGAAAAGCCCCGGGCUCAACCUGGGAACGGCAUCCGGAACUGUCAGGCUAGAGUGCAGGAGAGGAAGGUAGAAUUCCCGGUGUAGCGGUGAAAUGCGUAGAGAUCGGGAGGAAUACCAGUGGCGAAGGCGGCCUUCUGGACUGACACUGACGCUGAGGUGCGAAAGCGUGGGUAGCAAACAGGAUUAGAUACCCGAGUAGUC